AUCUGUGCUGCCGCCUCGCCCGCCGGCCGUGAUGCUGCUCGCUCGCGGACCCCGGUCCCGGGAACCCCGGCCUGCCGAGCAGAAGGGCGCUAACUAGAUGAGGACCUCAGCACUGUCUGUGUGAGCAGCACCAACUCCCACAGCGUUGCCUCAGAGCUGGCCUUUCGGCAUGGGGAGGAUCGGCAUCUCCUGCCUUUUUCCUGCUUCUUGGCAUUUUAGCAUCUCUCCAGUAGGUUGUCCUCGAAUUCUGAAUACCAAUUUACGCCAAAUUAUUGUCCUUAGCAUCCUGGCUGCUUCUGUCUCACUUUUAUAUUUUUCUGUCAUCAUAAUCCGAAAUAAGUAUGGGCGGCUAUCCAGAGACAAGAAACUUCAAAGGUACUUGGCACGAGUUACAGACAUUGAAGCUACAGACACCAGUAAUCCCAAUGUAAACUAUGGAAUCGUGGUGGACUGUGGUAGCAGCGGGUCUCGGAUAUUUGUAUAUUGCUGGCCACGGCACAACGGCAAUCCUCGUGAUCUGCUGGACAUCAGACAGAUGCGGGAUAAAAACCGAAAGCCUGUGGUGAUGAAAAUAAAACCAGGCAUCUCAGAGUUCGGUACCUCUCCAGAGAAAGUCAGCGAUUACAUUUCACCGCUUCUGAAGUUUGCUGCAGAGCAUGUGCCAAGGGAAAAGCACAAAGAGACACCACUCUACAUUCUCUGCACUGCUGGGAUGAGAGUCCUUCCUGAAAGCCAGCAAAAAGCCAUUCUGGAGGACCUCCUGACCGACAUCCCAGUGCACUUUGACUUCCUCUUUUCUGACUCUCAUGCUGAAGUCAUUUCAGGGAAACAAGAAGGUGUGUAUGCAUGGAUUGGCAUUAAUUUUGUCCUUGGACGAUUUGAGCAUAUUGAAGAAGAUGAUGAGGCACUUGUGGAGGUGAGCAUUCCUGGUAGUGAGAACAGCCAGGCCAUCAUCCGGAAAAGAACAGCGGGCAUUCUCGACAUGGGAGGCGUGUCGACCCAGAUAGCAUACGAAGUCCCCGAAACUGUAAGCUUUGCCUCCUCACAGCAGGAGGAAGUAGCUAAAAACUUGUUAGCUGAGUUUAACUUGGGAUGUGACGUUCACCAUACUGAGCAUGUGUAUCGUGUCUAUGUGGCCACAUUUCUUGGUUUUGGUGGCAAUGCUGCUCGACAGAGAUAUGAAGACAGAAUAUUUGCCAACACAGUUCAAAAGAACAGGCUUCUGGGUAAACAGACUGGUCUGACUCCUGAUGCUCCAUAUCUGGACCCCUGCUUACCCCUUGACAUUAAAGAUGAAAUCCAGCAAAAUGGGCAGACGAUGUACCUGCGGGGAACAGGGGACUUUGACCUGUGUCGAGAGAUGCUCCAGCCUUUCAUGAACAAAACCAAUGAGACGCAGACUUCCCUCAAUGGGGUCUACCAGCCCCCUAUUCACUUCCAGAACAGUGAAUUCUAUGGCUUUUCUGAAUUCUACUAUUGUACUGAAGAUGUGUUACGGAUGGGUGGAGACUACAAUGCUGCUAAAUUCACUAAAGCUGCAAAGGACUAUUGUGCAACAAAGUGGUCAAUCUUAAGGGAUCGCUUUGACCGUGGACUCUAUGCCUCGCAUGCUGACCUCCAUCGGCUUAAGUAUCAGUGCUUCAAAUCAGCCUGGAUGUUUGAUGUGUUCCACGAGGGCUUCUCGUUUCCUGUUGGCUAUAAAAACCUGAAGACGGCCUUGCAGGUGUAUGACAAAGAAGUGCAGUGGACCCUGGGGGCCAUCCUUUACAGGACCCGCUUCUUACCAUUGAGAGAUAUCCAGCAGGAUGUUUUCCGGGCCAGUCAUGCGCACUGGCGGGGCGUUUCCUUUGUCUACAACCACUACCUGUUCUCUGGCUGCUUCCUGGUGGUCCUGCUGUCCAUCCUCCUCUACCUGCUAAGGCUGCGACGCAUCCACCGACGCUCACCCCGCCACAGCUCAGCCGCAACACUCUGGAUGGAGGAAGGCCUGCCCUCCCAGAAGGUGGCCGGCACCCUGUGAACGCAGGCACAGCUGUGGCAAGACUUUUAUAGGAAAAGCCAUUUUUGCCUCAGGGUUUCUCCUUUGUGUUCUCAGAUGGUUUUAUUUUUCCUUUCCCUUUUUGUUCUUUUAAACAAAAUCCAUUGUAUGUCAGCCCUGCUGUCUAGAAAGUACUGCCUUUAGCCGUUUUGAAUACAGCUUUAACUGAGGAGUAGAAAAAAGGGAAACUCACCUGAUUUUUGCUGCAUAAGGUGUCUGCCAAAAAUUAAUAAGAUUUGUGGGUUUUUCUUUAAGGUAAGGUAAAUUUUCAACAAAUGCACUUUGAUUUUGGAGGCAGGUAGGAAAGAUGCUUUCUGUCAGUCAGUGGAGAUAGGACUGAAGAUUGACACUUGUACGGAACCCAGAAGGCAAAUUAUAACCCUCUGUCUUUUUUGAAAGCUCCAACCUAAAGAGGGUGAUAUUUAUUUUUUAUUCAUUGUGCAGGUCUGCCCCUGUGUAUUUUCUUUGCAGAUUUAAAAAUUCAAAAUCAGUAUGUCCAAAAUAGAUCUUUUAAAAAAAGCACCAGGAGGAAACUAUUUUUAAAACUGAUGGUGAAAGAUGUGAACUGUUGACCAGAGCGUGUGAAAAAUGCUGAGGACCCAGAGAGAGGACAGGCGCCCUGCACUGGCUGCUUUGCAUCAUUUGAUCUAGGAAGUGCUCCUUGCUGUUUCCUUUCCUAACUGCAGUUUCUGAGUUUUCAGUCUCUGAUGGGCUGAUCUUGCUGCUUUGGCCCUGUGUGAAGCAGCACAUUGCACAUUAUGGAGGAGCAAAAUCCGUCUGCUGGCUUUAAACCUGGAGCUAAGAGAGAGGAAGAGGAGGGGCCAGGGCCCAAGGACACACCCCCAGAAACCUGCCCCUGGGCCCACCUCUUAAAGGUUCUACUACCUCCCAGUAGUGCCAAAGUGGAGACAAGACUAAGCCUUCAACACACUAUAGCUGUGGCCCUGCAAGAACAGUCUCAUUCAAGAAAGGAAAUAGGCAUUCAUGGACACAAAAAAGAUGGGCAAAAGAAGUGACCAAGUUUCAACCUUAAAAUACUGGCUUAUCCACCAGAAGUUAACUUCCUAUCUUUGCUUGUAGAUUAUUUUCAAGAUCAGUGUCCUACCAAAUGAGGAAAUCUGCCCCAACUCCAAUUUUAAAAAUAGUGCUGUUCAAGGGCGCUCGGUGUUAUAUUGAGAAAACUGCAUCACAGCAAAUUGUAUUCCAGAGAGCCUCGGUAGUGUCUCAGAGCUAUGUGUCCCACGGAAGAGAAGAGGGCCACAUACUUCCUCUAAGUGAUGCAGGGAUGGAUUCGAGGCCAGCAGAGGAGAAGCUUGCUUCAGGCAGAGGAGGGUUCAUCUCAGUUGAGGGCUGGCAAGGAAAGCGGCCAAGUCUACACUUGCAAUGGAAAGCAAAAGAAAUCGAACUGGGACUUGCUAAAAGCUUUGUCCAAGAAACAAUUUCUGUGUUAAAUCUUGGUAGAAAGACUCCCCAGUAAAAGCUUAUGUCCCAUUAGCCAUGUCAUGUGCUCUCCUUUCUAUGCCUCCAGGAGAUGUUCUCACAGGCUUCACAGUCCAUUUAGGGACAUCACAGGAAAAGACACAGUUGAAUUUGCACCAAUUGUUUUUACACACACACACACACACACACACCCUCCCCCUGAAACUGCUGGCUUUAGGCAGUGCCUACCAGCUCCAGGGGCAAGGGACAAAGAUGCUGCUCAUGGCUUAAGGCCAGUGUUGUCAGGGCUCUGCCUGAUGACCCUCAAGGCUGAGGUCACUCCCUGUCAUCCACACCUCUGCACUCUAGCAUAGCAAAUGCUCGAUGAGCAGAUAUUUAAAUUUUAAACUCAGGCCUACAUAGUUUUCCUUAUAAGGAGCAUGUAUCACUUCGCAAGAAACUGAAAAAGGCAAAUGUGUUUUCCAAGCUUUAAAAGAAAAUCUGCUUUAGAAUUGUGUGUGGUCAUGUGCAAUGCAGCAAAACUACCUUUGAGUAAAUUAUUUAUUUAUUUCAGUGUUUUGUUUUUUAUAAUAUUGAGUUUCCCUUUCAAAAAUGGAUGAUGUGACCAAACAAGGAGAAUUCUUUGUUCUUUUACCCAAAUCAUAUUUUACAGUUAGGAAUUACAAGAACUAGGAGAACCUCUUUAAAUGUCUUUUGUUUAAGUGAUGUUUUCCAUUCAGAGUGAGAAUGGGUCCUAGGACAGGGUUGUGGUGUCAUAUCACCUUCUACAUUUGGUCGCCUUGUUGCACUUGCACACAGGGGUGCUGAUAAUCAAUAACAUGAAGGUUCACCAGCAUUCCCUAGGUGUGUGCUUGCUUCUUGUGAUUGAAACAGAUUUCUCUCUGAUAUUUGAAUCUUUUUACUUGUUAGAAUGAUUGGUCAAAUUUGAGUCUAAUUUCAGUAAAAUAAAUUAAAUCUGACUACACA